UACGAAGGGGGCUAGCGUUGUUCGGAAUCACUGGGCGUAAAGCGCACGCAGGCGGAUUGAUAAGUCAGGGGUGAAAUCCCGGAGCUCAACUUCGGAAUUGCCUUUGAUACUGUCAAUCUCGAGUCCGGGAGAGGUGAGUGGAAUUCCUAGUGUAGAGGUGAAAUUCGUAGAUAUUAGGAAGAACACCAGUGGCGAAGGCAGCCCCUGGGUCAACACUGACGCUCAUGCACGAAAGCGUGGGGAGCAAACAGG
rnacentral:rRNA from 1 species